rnacentral:rRNA from 1 species
UAUAAGACUGGGAUAACUUCGGGAAACCGGAGCUAAUGCCGGAUAACAUUUGGAACCGCAUGGUUCUAAAGUAAAAGAUGGUUUUGCUAUCACUUAUAGAUGGACCCGCGCCGUAUUAGCUAGUUGGUAAGGUAACGGCUUACCAAGGCAACGAUACGUAGCCGACCUGAGAGGGUGAUCGGCCACACUGGAACUGAGACACGGUCCAGACUCCUACGGGAGGCAGCAGUAGGGAAUCUUCCGCAAUGGACGAAAGUCUGACGGAGCAACGCCGCGUGAGUGAUGAAGGUUUUCGGAUCGUAAAACUCUGUUAUUAGGAAAGAACAAAUGUGUAAGUAACUGUGCACAUCUUGACGGUACCUAAUCAGAAAGCCACGGCUAACUACGUGCCAGCAGCCGCGGUAAUACGUAGGUGGCAAGCGUUAUCCGGAAUUAUUGGGCGUAAAGCGCGCGUAGGCGGUUUCUUAAGUCUGAUGUGAAAGCCCACGGCUCAACCGUGGAGGGUCAUUGGAAACUGGGAAACUUGAGUACAGAAGAGGAAAGUGGAAUUCCAUGUGUAGCGGUGAAAUGCGCAGAGAUAUGGAGGAACACCAGUGGCGAAGGCGACUCUCUGGUCUGUGACUGACGCUGAUGUGCGAAAGCGUGGGGAUCAAACAGGAUUAGAUACCCUGGUAGUCCACGCCGUAAACGAUGAGUGCUAAGUGUUAGGGGGUUUCCGCCCCUUAGUGCUGCAGCUAACGCAUUAAGCACUCCGCCUGGGGAGUACGACCGCAAGGUUGAAACUCAAG